GUAAAGACAGGUCUCAUGACUAUUCAUUCCUUGAGUAACAGGAACGAUUUACCAGAGGUGUAUGUAUUCAUUACGGAAACCGUUUGCCGUUUAAGAACCAACAGAAGCUAAACAAUAGUUUCUGUUGGACAAAUUCAGCCAAGGUCGAUAAGGCCUACCCUGAGAGAAUUCAAAGCUGGAACUGCGUCGCAAAGGCCCUGAUGGAUGUGUUGGGGAACAACACAAUACACAUCAACAUCAUGGAAAUCAACAAGUGUAUUUGUGUUCAUUCCAUUUACCAAGCACUGCCAAUUGAAUAGACUAGACAAUAGCACAAUACAAUCAACUGUAUUGUGUACCUGCUGUUUUUCAGUUGUCAUGAUGAUGCAGACAAGAGUCUACUUGUUUUGACUAGCUAGUAACAUUAGCAUUUCAUUACACCCGUUAUAACAUCUGCUAAACUGUGUACUAGACCAAUACACGUCGAUUUAAAUA